AGCGAACGCUGGCGGCAGGCUUAACACAUGCAAGUCGAGCGGGCAUCCUUGUGGUGUCAGCGGCAGACGGGUGAGUAACGCGUGGGAACGUGCCCUUCGGUUCGGAAUAACUCAGGGAAACUUGAGCUAAUACCGGAUACGUGCGAGAGCAGAAAGGUUUAUCUGCCGAAGGAUCGGCCCGCGUCUGAUUAGCUAGUUGGUGAGGUUACGGCUCACCAAGGCGACGAUCAGUAGCUGGUCUGAGAGGAUGAUCAGCCACACUGGGACUGAGACACGGCCCAGACUCCUACGGGAGGCAGCAGUGGGGAAUAUUGGACAAUGGGGGCAACCCUGAUCCAGCCAUGCCGCGUGAGUGAUGACGGCCUCAGGGUUGUAAAGCUCUUUUCUCCGGGACGAUAAUGACGGUACCGGAGGAAUAAGCCCCGGCUAACUUCGUG
rnacentral:rRNA from 1 species